UUAAGCGACUAAGCGUACACGGUGGAUGCCCUGGCAGUCAGAGGCGAUGAAGGACGUGCUAAUCUGCGAUAAGCGUCGGUAAGGUGAUAUGAACCGUUAUAACCGGCGAUUUCCGAAUGGGGAAACCCAGUGUGUUUCGACACACUAUCAUUAACUGAAUCCAUAGGUUAAUGAGGCGAACCGGGGGAACUGAAACAUCUAAGUACCCCGAGGAAAAGAAAUCAACCGAGAUUCCCCCAGUAGCGGCGAGCGAACGGGGAGGAGCCCAGAGCCUGAAUCAGUAUGUGUGUUAGUGGAAGCGUCUGGAAAGGCGCGCGAUACAGGGUGACAGCCCCGUACACAAAAAUGCACAUGCUGUGAGCUCGAUGAGUAGGGCGGGACACGUGGUAUCCUGUCUGAAUAUGGGGGGACCAUCCUCCAAGGCUAAAUACUCCUGACUGACCGAUAGUGAACCAGUACCGUGAGGGAAAGGCGAAAAGAACCCCGGCGAGGGGAGUGAAAAAGAACCUGAAACCGUGUACGUACAAGCAGUGGGAGCACGCUUAGGCGUGUGACUGCGUACCUUUUGUAUAAUGGGUCAGCGACUUAUAUUCUGUAGCAAGGUUAACCGAAUAGGGGAGCCGAAGGGAAACCGAGUCUUAACUGGGCGUUAAGUUGCAGGGUAUAGACCCGAAACCCGGUGAUCUAGCCAUGGGCAGGUUGAAGGUUGGGUAACACUAACUGGAGGACCGAACCGACUAAUGUUGAAAAAUUAGCGGAUGACUUGUGGCUGGGGGUGAAAGGCCAAUCAAACCGGGAGAUAGCUGGUUCUCCCCGAAAGCUAUUUAGGUAGCGCCUCGUGAAUUCAUCUCCGGGGGUAGAGCACUGUUUCGGCAAGGGGGUCAUCCCGACUUACCAACCCGAUGCAAACUGCGAAUACCGGAGAAUGUUAUCACGGGAGACACACGGCGGGUGCUAACGUCCGUCGUGAAGAGGGAAACAACCCAGACCGCCAGCUAAGGUCCCAAAGUCAUGGUUAAGUGGGAAACGAUGUGGGAAGGCCCAGACAGCCAGGAUGUUGGCUUAGAAGCAGCCAUCAUUUAAAGAAAGCGUAAUAGCUCACUGGUCGAGUCGGCCUGCGCGGAAGAUGUAACGGGGCUAAACCAUGCACCGAAGCUGCGGCAGCGACGCUGAUGCGUUGUUGGGUAGGGGAGCGUUCUGUAAGCCUGUGAAGGUGUGCUGUGAGGCAUGCUGGAGGUAUCAGAAGUGCGAAUGCUGACAUAAGUAACGAUAAAGCGGGUGAAAAGCCCGCUCGCCGGAAGACCAAGGGUUCCUGUCCAACGUUAAUCGGGGCAGGGUGAGUCGACCCCUAAGGCGAGGCCGAAAGGCGUAGUCGAUGGGAAACAGGUUAAUAUUCCUGUACUUGGUGUUACUGCGAAGGGGGGACGGAGAAGGCUAUGUUGGCCGGGCGACGGUUGUCCCGGUUUAAGCGUGUAGGCUGGUUUUCCAGGCAAAUCCGGAAAACUAAGGCUGAGGCGUGAUGACGAGGCACUACGGUGCUGAAGCAACAAAUGCCCUGCUUCCAGGAAAAGCCUCUAAGCAUCAGGUAACAUCAAAUCGUACCCCAAACCGACACAGGUGGUCAGGUAGAGAAUACCAAGGCGCUUGAGAGAACUCGGGUGAAGGAACUAGGCAAAAUGGUGCCGUAACUUCGGGAGAAGGCACGCUGAUAUGUAGGUGAAGUCCCUCGCGGAUGGAGCUGAAAUCAGUCGAAGAUACCAGCUGGCUGCAACUGUUUAUUAAAAACACAGCACUGUGCAAACACGAAAGUGGACGUAUACGGUGUGACGCCUGCCCGGUGCCGGAAGGUUAAUUGAUGGGGUCAGCGCAAGCGAAGCUCUUGAUCGAAGCCCCGGUAAACGGCGGCCGUAACUAUAACGGUCCUAAGGUAGCGAAAUUCCUUGUCGGGUAAGUUCCGACCUGCACGAAUGGCGUAAUGAUGGCCAGGCUGUCUCCACCCGAGACUCAGUGAAAUUGAACUCGCUGUGAAGAUGCAGUGUACCCGCGGCAAGACGGAAAGACCCCGUGAACCUUUACUAUAGCUUGACACUGAACAUUGAGCCUUGAUGUGUAGGAUAGGUGGGAGGCUUUGAAGUGUGGACGCCAGUCUGCAUGGAGCCGACCUUGAAAUACCACCCUUUAAUGUUUGAUGUUCUAACGUUGACCCGUAAUCCGGGUUGCGGACAGUGUCUGGUGGGUAGUUUGACUGGGGCGGUCUCCUCCUAAAGAGUAACGGAGGAGCACGAAGGUUGGCUAAUCCUGGUCGGACAUCAGGAGGUUAGUGCAAUGGCAUAAGCCAGCUUGACUGCGAGCGUGACGGCGCGAGCAGGUGCGAAAGCAGGUCAUAGUGAUCCGGUGGUUCUGAAUGGAAGGGCCAUCGCUCAACGGAUAAAAGGUACUCCGGGGAUAACAGGCUGAUACCGCCCAAGAGUUCAUAUCGACGGCGGUGUUUGGCACCUCGAUGUCGGCUCAUCACAUCCUGGGGCUGAAGUAGGUCCCAAGGGUAUGGCUGUUCGCCAUUUAAAGUGGUACGCGAGCUGGGUUUAGAACGUCGUGAGACAGUUCGGUCCCUAUCUGCCGUGGGCGCUGGAGAACUGAGGGGGGCUGCUCCUAGUACGAGAGGACCGGAGUGGACGCAUCACUGGUGUUCGGGUUGUCAUGCCAAUGGCACUGCCCGGUAGCUAAAUGCGGAAGAGAUAAGUGCUGAAAGCAUCUAAGCACGAAACUUGCCCCGAGAUGAGUUCUCCCUGACCCUUUAAGGGUCCUGAAGGAACGUUGAAGACGACGACGUUGAUAGGCCGGGUGUGUAAGCGCAGCGAUGCGUUGAGCUAACCGGUACUAAUGAACCGUGAGGCUUAACCUU
rnacentral:rRNA from 1 species